rnacentral:lncRNA from 1 species
AUGAAUAUAAAAAGUGGAAGAAUGUGUAUGUAUAAAAUCAAGCUGGAAACAUCCAUUGGGAGAAGAGUCUUCAGGCUAUUGACUCAUCCAAGGUUAUCCAAUCUAAUGAACAUCAGAGGCAGAAUGAGAAUGAUUGCCAAAGGCUACUCCUGCAAAGGAAGCCAUGGUGGAAUUGCAGAGCAGACUUUAAAUCCAAAACAGCACUCUCCUGAUCACAAGCAGGAUAUUCAAGAAGAGAUCAUUUCUUCAGAAAGAUGUGCAGUUUCUCCUGCUCACUGGUAAGGGGAGUCAAAGUCUCUGGAAUUCCAUGCAUUACACAUUCCAAGCACAACAAAUCAAUCAUUAAUUAUUUUCAGGAAGAGUGUUCAAAGUUCUCUUCCUUCUUUAGGUGAUAUGACAGAACAAAACAAAAACCAAAAACCCUGGGUACAUAGUUUUGGCUUGGCCAAAAAGUUCGUUCUGGUUUCUCCAUAACAUCUUACUGAAAAACCCAAAUGAAUUUUUGGCCGACCCAAUACUUCGGAAGCAU